rnacentral:misc_RNA from 1 species
CGAAAGGAAGCCGAAGCAAAAGAAAAGAUUCGCCUCGCCGCCGAAGCGAAAGCUCGCGAAGAAGCUCGAUUGAAGGCCGAAAACGAAGCCAAACGUCUCGCGGAAGAAAGACGAAUUGCCGAAGAACGCGCGAAGGCCGAGGCGCUCGCGCAGGAGGAAGCCAGGCGCAAAGCCGAAGCCGAAGCGAAACGGCUGGCGGAAGAACAACGCGUUGCAGAAGAGAAAGCUCUUGCCGAAACCAAGGC